UGCAAGUCGAACGGUGAAGCCCAGCUUGCUGGGUGGAUCAGUGGCGAACGGGUGAGUAACACGUGAGCAACCUGCCCCUGACUCUGGGAUAAGCGCUGGAAACGGCGUCUAAUACUGGAUACGAGUAGCGACCGCAUGGUCAGUUACUGGAAAGAUUUAUUGGUUGGGGAUGGGCUCGCGGCCUAUCAGCUUGUUGGUGAGGUAAUGGCUCACCAAGGCGUCGACGGGUAGCCGGCCUGAGAGGGUGACCGGCCACACUGGGACUGAGACACGGCCCAUACUCCUACGGGAGGCAGCAGUGGGGAAUAUUGCACAAUGGGCCCAAGCCUGAUGCAGCAAC
rnacentral:rRNA from 1 species